CGACGGGUGAGUAAUACAUCGGAACGUGUCUUCUAGUGGGGGAUAACUCGACCCGGAAAGGGCAGCUAAUACCGCAUGAGACCUGAGGGUGAAAGCGGGGGAUCGCAAGACCUCACGCUGGAAGAGCGGCCGAUGUCCGAUUAGCUAGUUGGUGAGGUAAAGGCUCACCAAGGCGACGAUCGGUAGCCGGUCUGAGAGGACGACCAGCCACACUGGGACUGAGACACGGCCCAG
rnacentral:rRNA from 1 species